rnacentral:rRNA from 1 species
UACGUAGGUGGCAAGCGUUAUCCGGAAUUAUUGGGCGUAAAGAGCGCGCAGGUGGUUGAUUAAGUCUGAUGUGAAAGCCCACGGCUUAACCGUGGAGGGUCAUUGGAAACUGGUCGACUUGAGUGCAGAAGAGGGAAGUGGAAUUCCAUGUGUAGCGGUGAAAUGCGUAGAGAUAUGGAGGAACACCAGUGGCGAAGGCGGCGCUCUGGGCCGGAACUGACGCUGAGGAGCGAAAGCGUGGGUAGCAAACAGGAUUAGAUACCCG